rnacentral:rRNA from 1 species
UGACAGUACUCCAACGGGGAGGCAGCAGUGGGGAAUAUUGCACAAUGGGGGAAACCCUGAUGCAGCCAUGCCGCGUGUGUGAAGAAGGCCUUCGGGUUGUAAAGCACUUUCAGUAGGGAGGAAGGUAGUGUAGUUAACACCUGCAUUAUUUGACGUUACCUACAGAAGAAGCACCGGCUAACUCCGUGCCAGCAGCCGCGGUAAUACGGAGGGUGCGAGCGUUAAUCGGAAUUACUGGGCGUAAAGCGCAUGCAGGCGGCCUGUUAAGUCAGAUGUGAAAGCCCGGGGCUUAACCUCGGAAUUGCAUUUGAAACUGGCAGGCUAGAGUCUUGUAGAGGGGGGUAGGAAUUUCAGGUGUAGCGGUGAAAUGCGUAGAGAUCUGAAGGAAUACCAGUGGCGAAGGCGGCCCCCUGGACAAAGACUGACGCUCAGAUGCGAAAGCGUGGGGAGCAAACAGGAUUAGAUACCCUGGUAG